rnacentral:rRNA from 1 species
UACAGAGGGUGCGAGCGUUAAUCGGAAUUACUGGGCGUAAAGCGUGCGUAGACGGUCAAGUAAGUCGGGUGUGAAAGCCCCGGGCUCAACCUGGGAAUUGCAUUCGAGACUGCGUGGCUAGGGUGCGGAAGAGGGAAGCGGAAUUCCCGGUGUAGAGGUGAAAUUCGUAGAUAUCGGGAGGAACACCAGUGGCGAAGGCGGCGAUCUGGGAAGAUACUGACGCUGAGGUGCGAAAGCGUGGGGAGCAAACAGGG